CUUCCAGUCCCAAGAAGAAGCUGACAGAAUUUGGACACCUACAGCUCUUGAAUUUACAUCUUCCCUUCUAAGACACUGACACGAAAGACCAAAAAUGAUGAAUGUAAGAGCAGAGUUGGGAACAGUUACCUGGAU